rnacentral:rRNA from 1 species
AUUGAACGCUGGCGGCAGGCCUAACACAUGCAAGUCGAACGAGUGGCGGACGGGUGAGUAAUGUCUGGGAAACUGCCUGAUGGAGGGGGAUAACUACUGGGAACGGUCGCUAAUACCGCAUACCAUCAGAUGUGCCCAGAUGGGAUUAUCUAGUUGGGGGGGUAACGGCUCACCCAGGCGACGAUCACUAGCUGGUCUGAGAGGAGGACCGGCCACACGGGAAAGGAGACGCGGUCAAGACUCCUAGGGGAGGCAGAAGGGGGGAAUAUUGCACAAUGGGCGCGAGCCUGAGGCAGCCACGCCGCGUGUGUGAAGAAGGCUUUCGGGUUUUAAAGUACUUACAGCGGGGAGGCGUAACCCGCAGAAGAAGCACCGGCUAACUCCGUGCCAGCAGCCGCGGUAAAC